UGGCUUAAACGAAUAUUAGAUGAAGAAUUUAACUAAAUAUCUUCUUUCCCAAGGCAUUAUGGCCAUUACAGCCCUUAAUACGUGAUGAGAAACAGCCAAUACAAUUUAUACAACAUUGAUUCUUUGUGAUUAUAGCUGAUACAUCUCUAAUUCUUGGAGGGGCUAUCUCUACCAUUUGCUAUUUAUGGCCAGCUUGUACUUUAUAUGAUCAAGAUGCUGCCAAUCAAAGGUGGUUGAUAGUACAUGGAGGAGAAGAAGAGGCAUUUUGUGUUAAUCCACGGGGCCUGUCAUGGAGCAUGGUGUUGGUAUAAGGUAGCAGCAUUACUUAAAUCAGCUGGUCACAAAGUUACAGCUUUGGACCUUGCCGCUUCUGGAGUACACACCAAACAGGCGAAUGAUAUCUAUUCAUUCCUGGAAUACUUUGAGCCAUUUAAUGAAUUCAUGACGUCUCUGCCACCAGAAGAUAGAGUGAUUCUAGUAGCACAUAGUUUUGGUGGACUUGUUAUAUCUGUUGCAAUGGAAAGGUUUCCUGAGAAAAUUUCUGCCGGAGUAUUUGCUGCAGCUUUAAUGCCAGGUCCUGACCUCAAUUGCAUGGCUGUGAAAGAAGAGCUCAAUAGACAACUCGGCUCCUUCAUGGACUCACAAUAUACAUUUGAUGAUGGGCCAAGCAGUCUCCCGACCUCUAUACUUUUUGGUCCCAACAUCACGGAAACCAAGUUGUACCAGCUCUCUCCACCUGAGCAGGACCUAGUUCUAGCUAAACUCUUGAUGAGACCUCACCCUCUCCGUGACAAUGGAGCUACACAAAAUGUAGUGCUCACUAAAGAGAAAUAUGGAUCGGUUCCUCGAAUUUUUCUUGUCUGCGACCAAGAUUGCAUGAUAAAGGAGGAUCAACAAAGGUGGAUGAUAAAAAACAAUCCAACAGAUGAGCAAGACUCAGCCAGACACAAGGAAAAGCAAAGUUGGUUGGACAGGAUAUGGAGGACAAGGAGCAGAGGCAUUUUGUGUUGGUCCAUGGAGCCUGUCAUGGAGCAUGGUGUUGGUAUAAGGUUGCAUCUUUGCUGAAAUUGGCUGGUCACAAGGUUACAGCUUUGGACAUGGCUUCAUCUGGAAGAAACCCUAAGCAGGUGAAGGAUGUACAUUCUUUCUCUGAGUAUUUUGAGCCAUUAAUGGAAUUCAUGACGUCUCUGCCAGCAGAAGAGAAGGUGAUUCUUGUAGGUCACAGCAUGGGUGGUCCUUGCAUAUCUGCUGCUAUGGAAAGAUUUCCUGAGAAAAUUUCUGCUGGAGUAUUUGCUGCAGCUUUUAUGCCUGGCCCUGAUCUCAGUUACUUGACUAUAAAAGCAGAGUAUGAUAAACAAGUUAAUGACUAUCUAGACCCAGAACUAACUUUUGAUGAUGGACUAAACAACCCUCCAACUGGUUUUCUCUUCGGACCCAAGGGCUUGUCAACUUUCUUGUAUCAGCUCUCCCCCAACGAG